GAUGAACGCUGGCGGCGUGCCUAAUACAUGCAAGUCGAGCGAACGGAUUAAGAGCUUGCUCUUAUGAAGUUAGCGGCGGACGGGUGAGUAACACGUGGGUAACCUGCCCAUAAGACUGGGAUGACUCCGGGAAGCCGGGGCUAAUACGGGAUAACAUUUUGAACCGCAUGGUUCGAAAUCGAAAGGGGGCUUCGGCUGUCACUUAUGGAUGGAUCCGCGGCGCAUUAGCUAGUUGGUGAGGGAACGGCUCACCAAGGCAACGAUGCGCGGCCGACCUGAGAGGGGAAUCGGCCACACUGGGACUGAGACACGGCCCAGACUCGUACGGGAGGCAGCAGUAGGGAAUCUUCCGCAAUGGACGAAAGUCUGACGGAGCAACGCCGCGUGAGUGAUGAAGGCUUUCGGGUCGUAAAACUCUGUUGUUAGGGAAGAACAAGUGCUAGUUGAAUAAGCUGGCACCUUGACGGUACCUAACCAGAAAGCCACGGCUAACUACGUGCCAGCCGCCGCUGUAA
rnacentral:rRNA from 1 species